GGCAAGCGUUAUUCGGAAUUAUUGGGCGUAAAGGGUGCGUAGGCGGCUAGAUGUGUCAAAGGUGAAAUCCCUCGGCUCAACUGAGGAACUGCCUUUGAAACUGUCUGGCUUGAGGCCGGGAGAGGGUAGCGGAAUUCCCAGUGUAGCGGUGAAAUGCGUAGAUAUUGGGAGGAACACCAGUGGCGAAGGCGGCUACCUGGACCGGUUCUGACGCUGAGGCGCGAAAGCGUGGGUAGCAAACAGG
rnacentral:rRNA from 1 species